GAUGAAGAACGUAGCGAAAUGCGAUAAGUAGUGUGAAUUGCAGAAUUCCGUGAAUCAUCGAAUCUUUGAACGCACAUUGCGCCUUCUGGUAUUCCGGAAGGCAUGCCUGUUCGAGAGUCAUUAACAACCGUUUCGAUCCCUUUCUUUCAGAAAUUACAAAGAGGAAAAGGGUUUGGUUAUGGUGGAGGAGGGAAAGGGAGCGUUUAGCCUGUAAAAAAAGAGGCUGUGUUCCGCCUCCCCCCCCAAAAUUGUACAGGCGGUCGUGUGCGCCCACGCAUCGAGGUGUUGUAAAAGCUGCCACGGCACUUUUCACCUGUGCAGUGCGAGAUUGGCCAGCCGGUUUAAAAACCCCUCCAAACAAUCAAAGGUUGACCUCGGAUCAGGUAGGGAUACCCGCUGAACUUAAGCAUAUCAAUAAGCGGAGGA
rnacentral:misc_RNA from 1 species